CCCAGCAGCAACAAACCCAGCAGCAACAUCUCGUAAACGUCAUGAAAGAUAAAAAACAAAAGGGACCUCACAGAUCUAGUCCUACUCUCAUCUCACCCACUUUUCCCCAAAGUCUCUCACUCCCCUACCCCGAACUUUUUAUCAUUAGCUUCUCUGCAGAUUCUCCAUUUCAAUUCGUCCUUCUUGUGAUUGGGUCGGGGUUUAAACACGUUAACGCGAAGCCUCCCCAGAUCAAAUUUGAAGUGAAAAUUGUAGGGUUUCAAAAACCCUCAAUUAGGAGAGAUAGCUAAGAUUUGGGAUUCAGGAGAGCAAUAAAUGGGUUUGGUAAUGGGCGUUUGCGUUGUUCUGAAGAGGGAGAUGCAGGGAAUGUCUCUGGAAUGUGUAGGCACACACCCACACCCACACCCACACCCUCUGAAUCUGAAUGAUGCUCUCAACUUCGGUACCGGGUCUGUUUCACUCAACUUCUUACCUCCUUUCUUCAAAUCGUUGAAUUUCAAGCUUGGGUUCUGUUUUCAAUUUUCGAUUUUUUAUUUUGUUUCUAAUUAGUCAUCCCCAAAUUGAAAAAUUAGACUUUGUUGGGACAAUAUCUUCUCAUCUCAUUCAGGUAAGAUUGUCCAUGGGUUUCUCUGAAUCGGUUGUUUUCCAAGUCUUCUUUAUUGUUUGAUAAAAUUUGGGUUGAGUGUUGGUUCAAGAUUGUUUGUAAUUUAGCUUUUGAUGAAUGCGUUUCAUUUUCAUUUUUGGGGUUUCAUUUUAAUUUAGGUUUUGGGACAUUACUGUUUACGGUUUGUUGUUUGGUUGCCCAAAAGACCACCGGCACUCUCUUAUCUCACCUUUAUGAGGUACAAUUUUCAAACUAUAAACUAUUCAAUUAAAACUUAAAAACUAUAACUCUAGGCGCUGGUCUAUAGAACCAAUCCUUUGCUCUUUCAUUUAAUAUUUGCAAACUGUGUUCAUAAUACAGUGAAUGAAUUGGCUUGAAAUCAAGUGGGGCCUUAAUCAUUUGCUCUUCUCUUAUUUAUCCUAAAGUGGCCUAAAUUACUUGAAAUCAAGAUUAGGUAGACUAGGUUUGCUUUCCAUUUAGUCAAAUCCUGAGAUUAACUUGCAUCAUUUGAAUUAUAUAGUUCUGCAAUCCCUUGACCAAGCUGCUCGAAAGGAUCUCAUUCCAAUAAAGUUGGGAGUGAAGGCAGCUAAGUUUGCCAAGCAAACAGUUAACACUCAGAUGAAAUCAUUUAAGUAUGCAAGGAUAUCCAUGGGGUAACUUGGGUUGAUGACAACAAGGCAACAAAUGUAGAAGCUACAUACACAGGACUAAUGGGUCUAAAGAGGCAAAAGUCUGUGAUCCUACUUGGUGGCCUUGCAAAGGAACUUGGAUAGUUCAAGAUAAAUUAGCCAUCACACUUCAGAGGGAUGUCACCAAAUGAACCUGGCUUUUCAUGGAAUCAUAUAAGGGAGUAAAAUUGGAUGUGACUGAGCAAGGAGAAACUGUAGAAGUUAGAGUAACAAAAGCACUUAUGGAAUAUGCAUACAUAUUUGUGUUCUUUGCGAUCUUUGAAACCGUUGAGGAAGGUAGCUAAUGAAAGCGUUGCAACUUUGUGGGAGAGAGGAUGAAUGCUGAUGCAGCUUUGGUCUUUGCCUACUACAAAGAGCUGUCACUGACCCAACAUUUAUCUUUUUCACAAUGGUACGAAGGAUAUCAAGUGAUAAGAAGUGGCACAGCUAGCUGCAAACAUACUGCAUUGGAGUAAUAUUACUCUAUAAUUAUUUGCUUUUGGGUUAGAAGUAGUCUAGUUUUGCUUGGUGUUUUCUUAAAUUAGGUUCUGAAUUGGCUUCAAGCUUUUUGACUUUUAUGAUAUAUAUAUAACAAGCCUUUUGUAUUGUUCCAAAAUGAAUGAUGUCCAUAUGGUUAACAACCAACGCAAGAUUACAACAUAUGUUGGCUCAACAUGAAAAUGAACAACUAAAUUGUACCAAAAUCUGUUGUUUCUUGUUAUAUCAAACAACAGAAGUAACAAGUUAUCUAUAUUUCAAAUGUGCUUCAAACAACAUAAGAGUGAGUUUCUGACCUCAAUCAAACUACAUAAGUACAUGAUUUCAUAUAGUUAUAUUGUCUAUCAGACAACAUAAAUACUUAAAACAGUGGUUGAAAUACAAGACAAAAGACAUACAAAUAAAUU